rnacentral:rRNA from 1 species
AACUGAGGGAAACUUCAGCUAAUACCGGAUACGCCCUACGGGGGAAAGAUUUAUCGGUUCUGGAUGAGCCCGCGUUGGAUUAGCUAGUUGGUGAGGUAAUGGCUCACCAAGGCGACGAUCCAUAGCUGGUCUGAGAGGAUGAUCAGCCACACUGGGACUGAGACACGGCCCAGACUCCUACGGGAGGCAGCAGUGGGGAAUAUUGGACAAUGGGCGAAAGCCUGAUCCAGCCAUGCCGCGUGAGUGAUGAAGGCCUUAGGGUUGUAAAGCUNUUUCAGUGGGGAAGAUAAUGACGGUACCCACAGAAGAAGCCCCGGCUAACUUCGUGCCAGCAGCCGCGGUAAUACGAAGGGGGCUAGCGUUGUUCGGAUUUACUGGGCGUAAAGCGCACGUAGGCGGAUCGUUAAGUCGGGGGUGAAAUCCUGGAGCUCAACUCCAGAACUGCUUUCGAUACUGGCGAUCUUGAGUCCGGAAGAGGUGAGUGGAACUCCUAGUGUAGAGGUGGAAUUCGUAGAUAUUAGGAAGAACACCAGUGGCGAAG